UAUCUGGUUGAUCCUGCCAGUAGUCAUAUGCUUGUCUCAAAGAUUAAGCCAUGCAUGUCUAAGUAUAAGCACUUGUACUGUGAAACUGCGAAUGCCUCAUUAAAUCAGUUAUCGUUUAUUUGAUUGUACCUUUACCACUUGGAUAACCGUGGUAAUUCUAGAGCUAAUACAUGCGAAAAGUCCCGACUUCUGGAAGGGAUGUAUUUAUUAGAUUCAAAACCAAUGCGGGUUCUGCCCGGUCAUUUGGUGAUUCAUAGUAACUGUUCAUAAAAUGGACGACAACGAUUGGGCAAUCUCUGGGCUUAAGCCUAACAGCAUAUCGACCAAGCAAAACCACUUUGACGACAUCUUUGCUCACGUGCGCUCGUUCGGCAGCUACCAGAGAACGCUUUGGGUGGUGUUCUAUUUCCUCAUGUUCCCAGUCUGUGGGCAGUUCGUCUCUGUCGUGUUCGCAUUCGGGACACCCCGGUUCCACUGUGCCACGCCCAACCUCACUUGCUCUCCAAAUACGUGCUGCAACAACUGCACGGAAUACGAGUUUGAUGGACCGAUGAGAACUACGGU
rnacentral:ncRNA from 1 species